rnacentral:rRNA from 1 species
UGGGGAAUCUUGCACAAUGGGCGAAAGCCUGAUGCAGCAACGCCGCGUGCGGGAAGAAGGCCCUAGGGUUGUAAACCGCUUUCAGCAGGGAAGAAAAUGACGGUACCUGUAGAAGAAGGUGCGGCCAACUACGUGCCAGCAGCCGCGGUGACACGUAGGCACCAAGCGUUGUCCGGAUUUAUUGGGCGUAAAGAGCUCGUAGGCGGUUCGGUAAGUCGGGUGUGAAAACUCUGGGCUCAACCCAGAGCCGCCACCCGAUACUGCUGUGACUCGAGUGCGGUAGGGGAGCGGGGAAUUCCUGGUGUAGCGGUGAAAUGCGCAGAUAUCAGGAGGAACACCAGUGGCGAAGGCGCCGCUCUGGGCCGUGACUGACGCUGAGGAGCGAAAGCGUGGGUAGCAAACAGGAUUAGAUACCCUGGUAGUCCACGCCGUAAACGUUGGGCACUAGGUGUGGGUCUCAACCAACGAGAUCCGCGCCGUCGCUAACGCAUUAAGUCG